UUGAAUAAUUCCCUUGAUUGUGAUAGAAAUAUCUAUUUGUAACCUAUUCCUGAAGACUUAUUGCUUCCUGGAGACUUUUGUUGUUGACCAAGCUGAUGAGGCACAUUAGGCUACUUAAUGCAGAAUGACUACAGUCUGGAGGCUUAAUAAACCCUGACUAAGCAUGCACUAGUGAAGUGCCUGAAGCAAAAUGACUUCCACCCAGUGAUAAAGCUGGUGGAGUGGAAACUACAGUGAGGGCAAUGUUGUGAUUCAGCCAGGAUGUGGACUCGUUCUAUCUACUUCAGUCAGUCGUUUAAUGCCGUUCCAGGUGACCAGCCAUGCCAGAGUCAUCGCCCUUACUGGCUGGCAGGUACAUCAGCAUAUUUCAUACUGAGAAGCACACUGGGUUCAGGUUGAUGGCAGUAUAUGAGAUGGGGAAGAUUGUCUCCCCUGACUCAUUCGUCCUUUCUGCCCCUAGCAUUAGUUAAUUAUCCGUAAGCACUGGAGGAAUGUUUUGACCCACACACAGCUUAGUCAGAGCUAACACAGGGAUACUUAACCAACACUUUAUAAUCGAGACUGGGCAGCUGCACUGGGCUAUAGAGCCACUGUAGAGGAACGACCACCAUGUUGACUCCUGCUGAGACGAUUUAGCUCUUUUUAGAGCAGAAUUCAGUUGCUAAUCCAGUCACUAAUGCAGCUUACACAAAACGCCAUCUGCUUCACUAUAUGCAUCUAUAGACAUCUGUAGAGCAUUCCCACUGGGCACACGCUCGUUGCUUCCACGUUGCUUCCACGUCAUUUCAAUGAACUUACAUUGAACCAAAUGUGGAAUAGAUGUUGAAUUGACACCUGUGCCCAGGGGGUUGUUUUAUGUUUGUGUGUAAUGGCAAUAAUAUGCUGAGUCUUCCGAUGCUGUUGCAUGUGGGUCAAUGGGAUUUUCAUGUCUCUUAUCUUUCUGUCUAACCUAAGAGAAAAUGUAAACAGCACAGCACUUCCUGUGUGUUUCACCCAGGGGUGUGCCUAUGUCACUGUGUGAAUUGGUCUGAGACAACGCAACUCCUCUGUCAGACUCUCACACAGGAUGAUGCUUAGGUUACACGCAAAGACAAAUAGCUCCAAAUAGCUUCUGCAGUUAGCCUAAAUGUAGCCUACUGGUAUCAGCAUUCUUUCUUUUUUUACUUUCUGUUUGCAUGACUUAUUAACAUGAUUCUGCCUAUAUGCUGCUGAUGCCUAGGCUAUAUAGUUCUAUUUUUAUGAGCAUCCUGUGAUUUUUGUCCCUGACUUCUAUCCAAAGAGGUCUCUGGACACUUUUUAAGAUCAGCGUCACAACAUACUUCCUAAUGCAAAAUGUCUUCUUUCCCUGUCAGACAUGAAAGAUGUAACCCUGAUGUCCGGCAGAGGUGCUUCGGACAGCAUCACAGCUUUGCUUACAGAGAGAACAAGGCUAUCUGAUGGUAUAGGUCGGCUCUGCAAUUGUGGCAUUGUUGUUAUGCAUAUAGUACGACCGGUUAUACAUAUGCGCUACAAAAUGCUGUUACUGUAAUUUUCCACGGCAUGGUGGCCAUUUUCUAUUUUCUUUUUUAUCCUCGUUGUUGGUGAGCUGUUGGGGUAGGUUAAAAUGGCUGCCCGUUUAUGGGGUACCGUUUGUCCCUGCUCCAGAUUGCCAUUAGACCAUGAUGUUGAGAUGAGACCCCUUCUUCUUAACAAAAAUAUCACUUUCCAUAUACCCUCGGUUGAAUACUUCCCGAGAGGCAUUCCUAUUGCACCCAGUUGCUUGUUCACCUACAUUACACCUACGUGUGUUUUUAAUAUCAUUGAAACUGUUCUCAUUUUCAGGUCUGUUUCAACUGACUGUCCUAAGCAUUACGUGCUACAUAUUACUCAGAAGAGGCAGGGAAGAAUGAAUAACCUAACGACAGAGGUGCCAUGAUUACAAUAUGGCUGGCAGCAGACCGAGAGAAGAGAAGCCUCGCCGUAUCGCUGGGAAACAGCCUCCUGCCUCCCCGUCUGACAGGCCUCUGUUGUCACGGCAACAUGCUGUGGCGCAGCGCAUAUUAGGAUUCAGAUUCAGAUGGAUGGCGGGGCAGGCGGGCAACUGCAUUAGCUGUCUGGGGAUUUGGUUUGGUCCUUCCUCACAGAGAGCCCUGCCUGUCUGCGAGCCCCAGCACUGCAGAUCUCUCAUGCUCCAACGCCACUGCAAUGGAGGCUUUCCGCCCUUUGUUUCCACUCUGGAUAUGUGUCGGUCGGUGUGUGUGAGAGUCUGCAGCAGAAAUGCAGCAGUCCGAAGGACUUUCUCUCUCUUCCGCUUACGGCAAGCGAUGUGCUUCAGCCUUGAUGCUGAUUUCCCCUGGUUUGUGCCGCUUUCCAUGCAUUUUCAUCUGGAAAUAGCCUGCAUGUCUGCCGGUUUCAGUUGAUUAUUUUCAAUAAGGGCUGAUAUGACCAAUUCUCUCAUCUUGAUGUGGUUUACUCUGUUCACAUAUUGAGCGGAAAUGUUGAAUUAGUCAAAGGAUGUCUCUUUGCCACACCCUAGUUCACUGUGCCUUAGAAUAUCAUUCGAUGUGCAUUUCAAAACCUGAAAAAUGUAAAUCCCCUAAUUGCUGUGAACCACAAGGCGAGAAAAAAACAGUCUCGAAUGCAAGCUGUCUAGUCAAACAAAGAGCGAAAAUGUCAUAGCAGAACCCACACUCAAGCCACCCCGUGCAAUAUGUGUAUUUCUGUUAAAAAGCAGUUGUAGAUUGGGUGGAAACGUGCAGAACAUACCUUUGCGAAUCAGAGAAAAUGACACGGAAGGCGAACAGCUGACACAGAAAACGAACAGCCAAAAACAUUACAGUGUCCCCUCUACUGUACAGAAGAAUUUUUAAAAAACUUUGAAAGGAAGGCGAAAGUAUACACUUUUUUUUUUCUAGACUUGUCGCUGCCCAGUGGUGCCGUUAGAGGCAGAGCUUUCGCUGUUGUCUUUCUUACCUCUCCCUCUCUCACUCCCUCCCUCUCUCUUUCUACGCUGCUCACUCCAACGUCCACGUCCUUUGCCUCUCCCUAGGUCCUGGUCGAGUACGCCGCUCUCUCCUCUUCCACCCAGUCCUGUCCUGGCUUGCCCCAGCUCUCAGACCAUUGACCACAGGAUUCCCACAUGAACGUUUAAAAAUAGCUAGAUUGGACUAUGGGUCUGUCUGCUGCCUCUCUGCUGCCUGGGCAACUUGAGUCCAGCGGCAUCUACUCUGCAGUCGCCAAGCAGGAAACGGCAACUUUAUUAAGCAUGGCUGAGGACGGUAAGACAGAGCGGCUCAGUGCUACAUCACACACCCCUACGCCGUGCUGCACAGAUCAGAGAAAACACCUAGGCUGCACGCCUGCUAGCGCGGUUACAGCGAUACAACUUCAACCAUACUACAAAGCGCACCCACAAUCACAUUUCUGCUCGACCUCCACACCGACACCAUUCAUACUGUAUCUUACAGGGAAGCUGGAUCUGUAGCUCACUUUCAAACACGUCACAUCACACUCGCCAUCUGUCUCAUGCCUAUGCACACAGGCACUUUCUCUUUGUGCUACCGUGUACACUCAAACCCUCUCUCGCUCUUUGUCAGCACGUCUGUGUACAUUGCAGUGCAUUGCCUCAUGAACACAAUUAGCCUGCUAUGCCCUUGUUUGUAUAUAGCAGCAUGAUCAAUGAGAUAUCGGCGACUACAUAUAGCUUAUUUAUCUCGCCUGCAUCUGUGCACUUUCAAAGUUAGAAAAAAAGACUGAGGAGAGAGCUGGAGGAGAGGAGGACAGUGGGUUCGUCUUUGUAGAGGCUGCUGAUGGAUGGGAACACAGAGGGAUGCCUCAGCACUGCAGAGUGCAGGUGGGAGGGGCUAAACCAGGCAGGCAGGGCACUGUUAUCCCUGCCAGCUGCUGUAGACGCAGACAGCCGUUUUAUACGUAUGAAGACCGAGGUUUUAUCACAAGUGUUUUUGAAUUUGCAUAACGUGUCUCCGCUUUCUUUCUGGGCUUAGGGAUACAGCUUGUGCACCCGAAUGUGAAAACCAUGCACAUUGUAUAUUUGACUUAGGUGUCAGAACAGAUUGGCCUCAUGAAACAAAUGGGAGACAUUCGCUGUGCACGUUCUACCAGUGUUAGUUCAGUUUAUCAUGACAAUCCCCAUGCCUCUGUCCCCUUCUGCUCUCUGUGCUUUCUCUGUCUGCUCAGCCGUCUGCCAGAUAUUUCUGGUGCAGGCCUACCCAGCUUGAUUGUUGUCGUUACCUGAGUGCAAUCAAGGCACCUGUCUGCUUGCGUUGGCCUGGGGAAGCAGGUCGCCAGCCUGGCACCACGCCAGUCCUCACACUCCUGUAAGCCGCUACACUUUGGCAUGACCUUGUUGCUAUGGCAACCGUAUAAGAAAACAGUGCUACCUUAAAAGCAUGGUGUUAUGGAACAUUAAAGGUUGCAAACCUUACGGGGCCUGGGAGGGAGCCUCGUAAAACCAGAGGAAAUAUGAUUUGCCAUGUUUGGGUGGCCACUAUCAUGUCUCCAUAUUGCAAUUUCUAUUUAUCUCUGUUUUUUCCCUCUGGUGUCUUUCCGUUCUCUUCCUCCAUGCCUGCUAUGUAUGGUUAAUGGUCUUGCCUGCUUCCUCACCCUUUUCCUGUAUUCGUAGUCUUGCCUGCACAAAUCGAUUUCCACUGGUACACUGCAGAUGAACACGACAUCCAAAAACAAAUAAGCCUAGCUCUCCUUUACCCUCCAUGCUCUUUGUUCUUUACAGUUUUGAGAACUGCAAAUGAAGUGUCUGCAGUACCUACCGUUUGUCUUGCUCACCACAACCUCUAUCCCACAUUAUUUUAGUACUUCAAAUGUUUUGCAAACUAAGAGUACAGGAAGAGCAGUUGAAAUUUGAACAAAUCAUUUGGACAAAUUAUAUUGCUAUGAACACAGAUGUAUUAUUUGUGGAAGUUGGAGAAAUAAAAAGGAUCUAACCUGCUGA